CAUGUAUGUUGUCUGCAGAUGAGUUCCAAACAUCCAGAGCUCCCAACACUCGAAGACCAGUAAUAGAGAAUCUAUAUGAUGUGUUUUUGAAUAUAAGAGACGAUGAAGCAGAACACUGCAAGACAAUGAAAGCAUGUCAGACACUGGGGAGCCUACGUUCUCCACACUCCAUAAUAGAAGAUGAUGCUGAAGAAGAAUCAGGCUGUGUUGUUCCUGAGGGGGCUCAUUGCGAAGGUAUCGUAGACUGCAUCAAGAAAUCCAUUACGAGUUAAAUUACUAAAAUAGAAAGGAAACUAAAAAAAAAAGAUUGUUUUGUAUCAGCUUAUUAUGAAGAAUUAGGUGUAAUUCCCAUAGACUUGGGAAUAAAGGAAAAAGUGUGAGAUUCCCAUCGUUAUGUGUGGGAGAGAAUCAAAUACCCAUAUUAUGUAAAUUUGCCAUGAUGAGUUUUAUAUUAUUAUCCAAGUCGUUGGAGACAAAUUGUGGUUGCAUAGUCGGUCUCCAUUUAUA